AUUUCUGGGAGGUUUUUACGUUGAUGUCUCAUGAAUACUGGGAGAAAAAGAAGUCUCCAAAAGGACAUUGGCCGGCAUAUUGUACGAGCUCAGUAAAUAUUUCUGGACGGACGCAUUUGUUGAGAAGCUCGCUGCCAAUGGUUUUCCUGACGUGAACGUGGCUGUUCUCAUCGAAGGAGGAGCUCAGGACCUCACUGUCGCUGGCAACGGCUGCUGCUUUCAUCAGGGGAGCUCCGAUCUCCACUGUGAGCAUCGCGUCCCGGCUCCAGCGUGGAUCCCUCAGCCUGGUGGCACAAACUCUUCACCUCACCAGCACAGGUUUUCUGGCUUCCAUCACUGGCCUUCGGGCCUUCCGGGUGCAGAUCCUCAGUA